GGCUUGUCUGAUGGUAGUGGGUUAUCAGAACUUAUUAUUAAUAACAUUUGUGUCACUAAAGUUGGUAAUACAAGCCCCUAUUGCUAAAUUUGGCUUAA
rnacentral:Y_RNA from 1 species